rnacentral:rRNA from 1 species
GACGAACGCUGGCGGCGUGCUUAACACAUGCAAGUCGAACGGAAAGGCCCUGCUUGCAGGGUGCUCGAGUGGCGAACGGGUGAGUAACACGUGGGUGAUCUGCCCCUUACUUUGGGAUAAGCCUGGGAAACUGGGUCUAAUACUGGAUAGGACCAUGCUGUAGGUGGUGUGGUGGAAAGAUUAGUUUCGGUAAGGGAUGAGCUCGCGGCCUAUCAGCUUGUUGGUGGGGUAAUGGCCUACCAAGGCGUCGACGGGUAGCCGGCCUGAGAGGGUGGACGGCCACAUUGGGACGGAGAUACGGCCCAGACUCCUACGGGAGGCAGCAGUGGGGAGUAUUGCACAAUGGGCGCAAGCCUGAUGCAGCGACGCCGCGUGGGGGAUGACGGCCUUCGGGUUGUAAGCUCCUUUCAGCCAUGACGAAGCCCUUGUGGUGACGGUAGUGGUAGAAGAAGCACCGGCUAACUACGUG